rnacentral:lncRNA from 1 species
AGGAUUUGGUUAGGGUUUGAUUUAAGGUUUGGUUUAGGGUUUAGAAUUUGGAUUAGAGUUUAGAGUUGGAUUAGGGUUUGGAUUAGGGUUUAGGGUUUGGUUAGGGUUUGAUUUAAGAUUUGGAUUAGAGUUUGGUUAGGAUUUGAUUUAAGGUUUGGUUUAAGAUUUAGGGUUGGAUUAGGGUUUGGUUUAGGAUUUGAUUUAGGGUUGGUUUAGGGUUUAGGGUUUAGAAUACAAUUUAAUUUAAGAUUUUUUUAGGAUUUGACUUAGAGUUUAGGAAUUAUUAGGAUUUAAGAUUUAAUUAGGUUUGGUCUAAAGUUGAGUGAAAUUCAAUAGGAUUUUAACUAGAAUUAAAUUAUGCUUGAAUUGACAUAUAUUUGAGUAAAAUUUGUGAUCAUUCUAAUAUUUCUUUAAGAAUUUUAUUGUUUGUUUGAAAUUUCUUUGAGUUGUUUUGAAUUUGAUUAUAUUUAUUUAUCAUUAUUAUAAUCUAAUUAGAGCAUUAUUAGUAUUCUAUUUAGGAUUUUGUUAUCGCAAUUUCUAUUCUUCCUUCUACAGCCAGGUGCCCGGAGCAUUCUCAAGCAAGACUUCACACAUUACGACAUUGCAUGCUGAUGCUAAAGAGAGGAAGGACUUCACAAGAUGUGAAAAGAAGGCUUUUGGCAUGAUUGCUACUAAUUUAGAUGAAGCCAACUUUUCUCACAUCAUCUCCUAUAAAGGACUAGUAGAAGCAUGGAAGACUCUUUGCAAUAUAUAUGACAGUAAGAACUUUUCCAAUAUCAUCU